GGCAAAUAUAACUCACGACAGUUGCGGAGCAAAGUGAGUGAGGUGCGAGGGAGAGAAUCUGUUUAGCUAAGAAUCAACGAGAAAGGAGAUGGCGAACGAGGAGGCGGAGAAGAAGAAGAAUACAUCUUCUAGUGAAGCUAAACAGCCUUUGAAGACGGCGAAGAAAAAAACAUUAGGAUGGAUGGAAUGGUUACGAGGAUGGUUCUAUUUGGUUUACGAGAUGCUUUUUCAAAGGAUAUUAGCUAGUCAUUUGCAGAAUCCUAUGCCUCUUCCUCCAAUUAACGACGUUACUUGCAUCGUUACUGGUUCUACCAGCGGUAUCGGCCGGGAAAUCGCUCGGCAGUUGGCAGAAGCAGGGGCACAUGUUGUUAUGGCUGUCAGAAGCACCAAUCGCGCACAGGAGUUAAUACGGAAAUGGCAGGAAGAAUGGUCUGGCAAGGGCCUUCCACUCAACAUUGAGGUCAUGGAGCUUGAUCUUCUCUCUUUGGAUUCUGUUGCACGAUUCGCAGAAGCAUGGAAUGCCCGCAUGGCACCAGUACAUGUUCUCAUCAAUAAUGCCGGCAUAUUUUCAAUUGGAGAACCACAGAAGUUUUCAAAAGAUGGGUAUGAGGAACACAUGCAAGUGAAUCAUCUA
rnacentral:misc_RNA from 1 species